UGCCAAAACCCUAAUCCCUAGUCCUUUGGGAUGUAUGUGUUUUUGGAAAGGUGGUCUUUAAAGGAAGUAGUUAUGGAAAAAUGAGUCAAAGGGGAGGAGAAUCCAGUCUAGUUGGGACUCACGAACCAUCAAGGGACACAGAACACCUUUACAACCACAUAGAAGAAAAAGUGGAGACUUUCCCCAAAGCAGGUAGCUACUAUGAAGCAUAAUCAUUCUGACAUCCCAGUGCAUAGGUGUGAAGACUGUUAAAGUUCAUUUUGUUGUCUUAUGAAAAUGAAGAUGUCUUACCAGGGACCAAGUUGCUGAAAUACCAU